rnacentral:rRNA from 1 species
GGAUCAGUACGUUGGUCGUGCCUUGGUAUGUACUGGUGUUACUGAUUCCUCCCUUCUGACGAACCUUCAUGCCAUUCACUUGGUGUGAUGGGAAAUCAGGACUGUUACUUUGAAAAAAUUAGAGUGUUUAAAGCAGGCUCACGCUUGAAUACAUUAGCAUGGAAUAAUGGAAUAGGACGU